GUGAAAGUGUGUUUGCAACCACAGAGAAAAGCACUCAAUGCAGACUUGAUUUUAUAUAUUUUGCUUUCAGGCAAUGAAACCCCUGCUGCUAAAGGGUCAUCUACCAUAGAAGAGUAACAACUGGGCCAGUAGAGAGAAAAGCGCACUUUGAAGCAAGCAGAGAGCACAGAAGACAUGUAACUGCUGGCCCUUCAGCCUGUGCCCUAGAAUGAAGACACGAGGAACAAAACUGGACCCAACUGU
rnacentral:lncRNA from 1 species